rnacentral:misc_RNA from 1 species
AAAGUCGUAACAAGGUUUCCGUAGGUACGUUGAUCAUCUUUCCUUCCUCCUCUCCACUGAUAAGCAACUCAAUACUAAUAUUUCUCUAGGUGAACCUGCGGAAGGAUCAUUAAAGAGUAAGGGUCUGUUAGGCCCGACCUCCAACCCUUUGUCUAUCUACCUCUGUUGCUUUGGCGGGCCCGCUGGGGAGACCCACCGCCGGCCUAGGCUGGUGAGUGCCCGUCAGAGACCACCGAAAACUCUGUUUACCGAUGAUGUCUGAGUACCAUAUAAUAAUUAAAACUUUCAACAACGGAUCUCUUGGUUCUG